AAGACAUGCAAGUCGUGCGACAGACCAGGAAUUGAUUACUUCGGUUUGAUUUUCCUGACGAUGAGCGGCGAACGGGUGCGUAACACGUGAGAAACCUGCCUUGAAGUUCGGGAUAGCUCGGCGAAAGUCGAAUUAAUACCGGAUGUGGCCUUGGGAUAGCAUUUUCCCUUGGUUAAAGCUCGGUCACAGAGCGCUUUUAGAUGGUCUCGCGGUCUAUCAGCUUGUUGGUGAGGUAACGGCUCACCAAGGCUACGACGGAUAACUGAUCUGAGAGGAUGAUCAGUCACACUGGAACUGAGACACGGUCCAGACACCUACGGGUGGCAGCAGUCGAGAAUCAUUCACAAUGGGCGCAAGCCUGAUGGUGCGACGCCGCGUGGGGGAUGAAGGGCUUCGGUCUGUAAACCCCUGUCAUCUGUGAGUAAGGUCUCGUAUAAAAGCUACGAGAAUUGAUAUUAGCAGAAGAGGAAGGGACGGCUAACUCUGUGCCAGCAGCCGCGGUAAUACAGAGGUCCCAAGCGUUGUUCGGAUUUACUGGGCGUAAAGGGUGCGUAGGCGGUUAGAAAAGUUUGGUGUGAAAUCUUCGGGCUCAACCCGGAAACUGCACUGAAAACUAUUUAACUAGAGGAUCGGAGAGGAGAUUGGAAUUCUCAGUGUAGCAGUGAAAUGCGUAGAUAUUGAGAGGAACACCAGUUGCGAAGGCGGAUCUCUGGACGAUUCCUGACGCUGAGGCACGAAAGCUGGGGGAGCGAAGAGGAUUAGAUACCCUCGUAGUCCCAGCCGUAAACGGUGCGCACUUGCUGUGGGCGGAUUCGACCCCGUCCGUGGCGAAGCUAACGCGUUAAGUGCGCCGCCUGGGGAGUAC
rnacentral:rRNA from 1 species